UCUGGCCACCACCCGCAGCUGAACCCGGACACCCGAACCCCCUCAGACCGCCGUGAAACCCUGAGCCUCGGUUUGUCCCGUGUGUGGGCAAGGGGACGAGGAGAAAACUUCUGAAAGGGAGGCGCAGACUUUACUUUCUUUCGCUGUCCUAAGGAGUAGCUACCUUUUCCUUGGCUCCACAGGUAGCUUGGUGCCCUGGAGGGUGCCAGGAAGUCCCUUCCCAAUACCAGCCAACUCUGCAAUUUGUCCAGACCAGGCUCCUGCGGCAUUGACCACUACAGUACAUUCCACUGGCUGAUACUCCAGGCUCUUGUCCAUUUUCACCUGUAGGCACCAGAAGGCAGGAAGGAGCCAAAGUCUGUCUGAUGUCUCCUGAGCAGAUGCAGAACAAGUUUCCCUGGAUAAACGCAGACACAAAGACACAAAAUGGUGGUUUGGAUGAGAAUGGCCUUGUAGGCUCAUAUUUGCAUGCUUAGUCCCCAGUGAUGAACUAACUGUUGGGGAAAGAUUAGGAAGUAUGUCACUGGGAAUGGGUUUUGAGAUUUUUUUCAAUGCAUUUUUUUUCCUUCUUCUUUUUCUUUUUUUUUGG